rnacentral:rRNA from 1 species
AUUGAACGCUGGCGGCAGGCCUAACACAUGCAAGUCGAGCGGAUGAGAGGAGCUUGCUCCUCGAUUCAGCGGCGGACGGGUGAGUAAUGCCUAGGAAUCUGCCUAGUAGUGGGGGACAACGUUUCGAAAGGAACGCUAAUACCGCAUACGUCCUACGGGAGAAAGUGGGGGAUCUUCGGACCUCACGCUAUUAGAUGAGCCUAGGUCGGAUUAGCUAGUUGGUAGGGUAACGGCCUACCAAGGCGACGAUCCGUAACUGGUCUGAGAGGAUGAUCAGUCACACUGGAACUGAGACACGGUCCAGACUCCUACGGGAGGCAGCAGUGGGGAAUAUUGGACAAUGGGCGAAAGCCUGAUCCAGCCAUGCCGCGUGUGUGAAGAAGGCCUUCGGGUCGUAAAGCACUUUAAGUUGGGAGGAAGGGCUUACAGCGAAUACCUGUGAGUUUUGACGUUACCGACAGAAUAAGCACCGGCUAACUUCGUGCCAGCCGCCGCCGUAA